GCUCCAGUGGCCUAGUGGUUAGACUGUCCACCUUAGAUGCGGGAGGUCAUGGGUUCAAUGCCCCGUCGAGUCA